UUUCAGAUAGCCUGCAUGUCUAGUACAUGCCGUAUUAAGGCGAAACCGCGAAUGGCUCAUUAAAUCAGUUAUGGUUCCUUGGAUCGUACCUUACUACUUGGAUAACUGUGGUAAUUCUAGAGCUAAUACAUGCAGCAGAGCUCCGACCUUCGGGGACGAGCGCUUUUAUUAGACCAAAACCAAUCGGACUCUGUCCGUCUCUUGUGGUGACUCUGAAUAACUUUGGGCUGAUCGCACGGGCCCGUCCCGGCGACGUAUCUUUCAAGUGUCUGCCUUAUCAACUUUCGAUGGUAGGUUACGCGCCUACCAUGGUCGUAACGGGUAACGGGGAAUCAGGGUUCGAUUCCGGAGAGGGAGCCUGAGAAACGGCUACCACAUCCAAGGAAGGCAGCAGGCGCGCAAAUUACCCACUCCCAGAACGGGGAGGUAGUGACGAAAAAUAACAAUACGGGACUCUUUUGAGACCCCGUAAUUGGAAUGAGUACACUCUAAAUCCUUUAACGAGGAUCCAUUGGAGGGCAAGUCUGGUGCCAGCCGCCGCGGUAACUCCAGCUCCAAUAGCGUAUAUUAAAGUUGUUGCGGUUAAAAAGCUCGUAGUUGGAUCUCAGUUCCAGACGGGUGGUCCGCCAACCGGUGGUUACUGCCUGUUCUGAACAGCCAGCCGGUUUCUCUUGAUGAUCUUCACCGGUUGUCUUGGGUGACCGGCAAGUUUACUUUGAAAAAAUUAGAGUGCUCAAAGCAGGCGCGACGCCUGAAUAAUGGUGCAUGGAAUAAUGGAAUAGGACCUCGGUUCUAUUUUGUUGGUUUUCGGAACACGAGGUAAUGAUUAAGAGGGACAGACGGGGGCAUUCGUAUUGCGACGCUAGAGGUGAAAUUCUUGGACCGUCGCAGGACGACUAUGCAGANUUUUUUUU
rnacentral:rRNA from 1 species